rnacentral:rRNA from 1 species
GACGAACGCUGGCGGCGUGCUUAACACAUGCAAGUCGAACGGAAAGGCCCUGCUUUUGUGGGGUGCUCGAGUGGCGAACGGGUGAGUAACACGUGAGUAACCUGCCCUUGACUUUGGGAUAACUUCAGGAAACUGGGGCUAAUACCGGAUAGGAGCUCCUGCUGCAUGGUGGGGGUUGGAAAGUUUCGGCGGUUGGGGAUGGACUCGCGGCUUAUCAGCUUGUUGGUGGGGUAGUGGCUUACCAAGGCUUUGACGGGUAGCCGGCCUGAGAGGGUGACCGGGCCAGUGGGGAAUGGGGAAGCGGCGGGGGUCGCAGGGGGGGGAGGAGGGGGGAGUUGGAGGCCGUGGGUGGGGGGGUGAUGCACUGACUCCGGGUGCGGGGGGGGGGGCUUGGGGAGGGAAAAAGCUUCCGCGGGUAACGAAGGGGCAGUAGCGGUAAUGAGGAAAGGAACAGCGGCUAACUACUU